rnacentral:rRNA from 1 species
UACGUAGGGGGCAAGCGUUGUCCGGAUUUACUGGGCGUAAAGAGCGUGUAGGCGGCCACGCAGGUCCGUUGUGAAAACUGGAGGCUCAACCUCCAGCUGUCGACGGAAACCGUGUGGCUAGAGUCCGGAAGAGGAGAGUGGAAUUCCUGGUGUAGCGGUGAAAUGCGCAGAUAUCAGGAAGAACACCAAUGGCGAAGGCAGCUCUCUGGGACGGUGCUGACGCUGAGACGCGAAAGCGUGGGGAGCGAACAGG